rnacentral:pre_miRNA from 1 species
GUACUCUACGCUUUUGGGAACGAGCUCUUUGACGCACUCGGUUCCAUUGCCGUUGAGUAGAG